rnacentral:rRNA from 1 species
GACAGAGGGUGCAAACGUUGUUCGGAUUCACUGGGCGUAAAGGGUGCGCAGGCGGCCGUGUGUGUCAGGUGUGAAAGCCCGGGGCUUAACCCCGGAAUUGCGCCUGAAACUACAUGGCUAGAGCAUUGGAGAGGGUAGCGGAAUUCACGGUGUAGCAGUGAAAUGCGCAGAUAUCGUGAGGAACACCAGAGGCGAAGGCGGCUACCUGGACAAUUGCUGACGCUCAGGCACGAAAGCGUGGGGAGCAAAAGGG